GUUUUCCUUAUCAUGGUACCAAACUAGGGAUAUCCUCUUUUCAACAAAAAAAGAAUUAUCAAAAUCGGUACAUCCAUAAAAACGCAUUAUUAGAUAUAACUCGAAAAGUAGUUGUUAGAUCUCAAAUAAAUUUAAAUGGGACCAAUUGGCACACACCACCUUUCGAUUAAAACAAAAUUUGUCGAAAUCGGUCCACCCGGUCAAAAGUUUUGAUGUAACAUACAUUAAA
rnacentral:misc_RNA from 1 species